rnacentral:rRNA from 1 species
AACGAACGCUGGCGGCAGGCUUAACACAUGCAAGUCGAACGCCACCUUCGGGUGGAGUGGCAGACGGGUGAGUAACGCGUGGGAACGUACCUAUUGGUUCGGAAUAUUCUCGGGAAACUGAGAGCAAUACCGAAUAAGCCCUGAGGGGGAAAGAUUUAUCGCCAAUAGAUCGGCCCGCGUUAGAUUAGGUAGUUGGUAGGGUAAUGGCCUACCAAGCCUACGAUCUAUAGCUGGUCUGAGAGGAUGAUCAGCCACAUUGGGACUGAGACACGGCCCAAACUCCUACGGGAGGCAGCAGUGGGGAAUAUUGGACAAUGGGCGCAAGCCUGAUCCAGCCAUGCCGCGUGAAUGAUGAAGGCCUUAGGGUUGUAAAAUUCUUUCAACGGUGAAGAUAAUGACGGUAACCGUAGAAGAAGCCCCGGCUAACUUCGUGCCAGCCGCCGCUGUAAUAC